rnacentral:rRNA from 1 species
GACGAACGCUGGCGGCGUGCUUAACACAUGCAAGUCGAGCGGUAAGGCCCUUUCGGGGGUACACGAGCGGCGAACGGGUGAGUAACACGUGGGUGACCUGCCCUCAGCUCUGGGAUAAGCCUGGGAAACCGGGUCUAAUACCGGAGUAUGACUCCAUGACGCAUGUUGUGGGGUGGAAAGCCUUGUGCGGCUGAGGAUGGGCCCGCGGCCUAUCAGCUUGUUGGUGGGGUGAUGGCCUACCAAGGCGACGACGGGUAGCCGGCCUGAGAGGGCGACCGGCCACACUGGGAC